rnacentral:misc_RNA from 1 species
GAAAUGCGAUACGUAGUGUGAAUUGCAGAAUUCAGUGAAUCAUCGAAUCUUUGAACGCACAUUGCGCCCUUUGGUAUUCCAAAGGGCAUGCCUGUUCGAGCGUCAUUUGUACCCUCAAGCUUUGCUUGGUGUUGGGCGUUUUUGUCUUUGGCCUUGCCCAAAGACUCGCCUUAAAACGAUUGGCAGCCGGCCUACUGGUUUCGGAGCGCAGCACAUUUUUGCGCUUGCAACCAGCAAAAGAGGCCAGCAAUCCAUCAAGACUUCUUCUCACUUUUGACCUCGGAUCAGGUAGGGAUACCCGCUGAACUUAGGC